UUCACCUAUAGGACAUGGAGUUUGAGCAUCAUUAGGAGUGGUGCUCCUCAGUCCAGCUGGGAACAUCAGUUCUGUCAGAAGCUGGGGC